rnacentral:lncRNA from 1 species
AUUUAGUGAGUACACUGGGCCUCAGCUAUGUCAGUGAGCAGCAGAGCUGGGACUCAAUGCAAGGUCAAGUCCCAAGCUUGAGUAUGUUCUCUAACUCCAAGCCAGCAGUGUCCAGAAUGAGCUUUCACGCAGAGGGAAAAAUUGGGCAGCAACCACUACUUCCAACUUUGCUCCACUGUGGAAUUUCAAGAGGACAGUUCAAAUCCCUUCAUUUGUGGUUUGAUAACCUUACAGGCACAGCAUGUUACCUACAUUACAUAUAGCAGAUGCUUGGGAGGUUCUGUUGAUGUAGGAGUGGAUGCCCCUUGCCCUCUGGGUUACUGUGAAGUCAGACAGAUAACCAAAACACAGCAUCUGAGGCCUGUUUUUGACAGUGUGCAGAAAUGUGCCUAUGUUCACAUAUGCAUGGGCUGUAUAAUCAGGUAAAGCCUGCAGUUGGCAAUGCUUUCAAGGAAGAGUUUGCCACUUAAGUGGCUUCUCUGAACCUAUCCAUCCUUGCUGGGUGACCUUACCUACUUCUAAUAGUUCACCUGCUGGCUUGGCAAUGCCCUCCAAGUCCCCAUUCCUGUUCCUGAAAAGUUUUCGGGUAGAGGAUGUUAUAUGGAUCUGUUAUAGUAUAUCCAAAACUGACCUCCAUCCACUACUGACUUCUACAGCUCCCUAGUCAGUGAAUGGCACAAGUAUCCAGACAAGAAACCAGGAACCUAGAGUCGAUUUUCCUUUCUUUGGCCUAGACUUUACCAGUCAAAAUUCUGUUCAUUUCUUGAGUCAGCUACCCAGCCUCUUCUUCACUGACUGCCACAGUCCAAGCCCAGAUCCUCAUUACUCUGAACUGCCCAGAACCAAAUGAACUUGGCCAAGCUCUACUCUGGUUCACUUCACUCACCAUGCUGUAGCCAGAGUGGUUUUGAUUUAUUUAUUAUUUUAUUUAUGUGUAGGGCUGUUUUGCCAGCAUGCAUGUCUGUGCACCAUGUUCAUACCUGCCUGGUAUCAGUGAGGCCAGAAGUGGGUUUUGGAUCUCUGGGACUGGCAUUUCAGAUAGUUAUGAGCUGCCAUCGAGGUGCUGGGACUCGAACCCAGGCCUCUAGAAGCCUUGCCAGUGCUCUUAACUGCUGAGCCAUCUCUCUAGCCCCUAGUCAGAAUGAUCGUAUCACUUUGAACCCUCUAUUUCAGCUUCUCAUACAGUGGGCAUCUCUGAACAUGUGAGCCAGAGCUGACAGGGCCUAACUUCAACUCCCAUUCUGGUCUCAUCGCUGGCCACUACACCCUCACCAACCACUCUGCUUUCAAGACUACACUGUUUAUUAUUCCUUUACCCAGAGUUCCCUCACUCUGCCACUCUGAGCUCUUACAGCCCUUAUGCCAACUAGGUAAAAUCCUGCCUGAUGACAAGAUCCAGAAUAAACAGUACUUUUUGCUCAAACCCUUUCCUGAAAGCAUUGCUACCUGAAGGCUCUGUCUGAUCACAGGACCCAUGCCUAAGUGAACACACAUGCACCUUUGCACACUGUGACGGGAAGAGAAGAGGAGGUGAUAAAUAGAUACCAGGU